CAGGAAUGCUGCAUGGCCUCCCUAGAGCGGCGGUGGGAGCCUCGGCCGGGGAGAGCCCGCUCGGGGGCAGGAAGUGGCCCGGCCCUCCUCGUGGAGGGUGUUUCCGGAGCGCCUACUGUGCUCCUCGCCGGAGUGGGGGUCGUUACCGAGGGGGAACUUCUGUAAAUCGUGACUUUUGUCAUUUCGCGCCCCCCACAAGAUGUCCUGCCGGCGGUGCGAUUGCUCCCGUUGCUUCGAGGGGAAACUGAGGCCAGUUAGUCCGGGCACUUACCCUCAGCUGGUAAAGGACUGGGCUCUGAUGGGGACGCCUGUUAUGACCUCAAGGGCCUAUAGAGUCUGGGAGGCCGCCUCCGACCUAAGCCCAAAAAGCACAUGGUCGGGCUCACAGGGGGCGGCCAGAGGUGAAAAUUGCCAGUGUUUUGCAGCGACGCUGUGCGGGGCACUUCGUGUGUGUCAUCCCGUCUCAUCCUCGGGUGAUGGGAACUGUUCAUUCGGGAAGAUUGCAAACAGCUAAAUACCCCUCACCAGGAGCUGGCCCAUUAUAGCAACUCUGAGACCUCUCUACCGCAGGCUCUGAAAAUGGGAAAGAGGCCUCAGGGAAGAGGCUGGCUACCAAGAAGUCACAGAACUGGCUCCAGACCCCAGGACUCCUGGCAGCAGGGCCCCAGGACAAGGGACCACUUUGCUACCUCCUCUGUUAUAACGUGACUGAGGCUGUGGGCGUGCCUCUCCCAGGACCCCCUUUUCUGGACAUGCAGGGCAGGACACAUGCUUCAGGGGCAGCCUCAACUAUACGGAGCAAGCGGCAUGCUAGACAAGUGCCAAGCAUGGACCCCACGCAGUGAUGGACGUGAGCCCCCAGCUCAAAGACGACACACGGAGAAGGGAGCCAAGCAGCACUGACCGAUGUGGGCAGCGUUAUUGCCGACCAGGAAUUUGUCCCUGGACUUCCCCUCCGCACUGCUCCAUGCUCACCUUCCUCUUCUCGGGUGUCUCCACCAGCUGCCAGCUGUUGGCCUUGAGGUGGUAGAGUUCAUCGAACUUCAUGCUGAUGUCCUCGAUGGACAGCUGUAGCAGGUCCCAGAACCCUGCCAGGUCCUGGGCUGUGGGGCGUGGGUUGGCAUCAGGGUUCUGUGGGCCAGAUGGGGAUCAGUGGGGCAGGCUCAGCAGAGGCUUGUCCUGCUCACCCGACCUCCCCGUCUCCGACCCCGCCAUCUCCGCUUCCCCCGCCCCGCGCCCUGCUGAAGCAUGUUUCCUCUGGCCCCACCAGUACCCAAGGGGGCUCUUGAGGCCUAGUGUCUGGGUCAGUAUCUGUAUGAAUGAAUCUAAGCCACUUCUGGUCAGCACCAGCCUUAGUGGUGGAGAUCCUUGGGGAUAGCCUAUAAGGCUGUGGUGAGGAAAGCACUCCUGUCCCUAAUGUAUGCCAAGCAGACAGUUGUUUUGCAAGGAAGAAAUACAAGUUUUUGGCCA